CUCCCUGCUGUUGCUGGUGCAGGUGCUGCUGGUGGUGGUCCUGGGGCCGUGCUUUGGAAACCAUUAACAUAAAGGCUGAGAGGCCAGGGAAAUGGGCACCCGGAAAGCCUGAAGGAAAACAACAAAAUAAAAUGGAAUUUCUUAAAUUCUCCAGGAUGCGUCUAUCUCAGGCCACAUUCAAAAACAAACAAACAAACAAAAAAUCAAAAAAACCAGAAUACAACAAAUACUUUGUAAAAGAAAAUACAUGUAGAUGAUAUAGAGAGCUGACAGGGUUGAUUGGCAAUAAAUCCUUCCCUCCAAAAAUCCAUUUAUUUAGGAAAUAACUGAGAGGGAGAUCCUAUGAAAUGGAUUGAUUGUCAGGAACUGUAAUCACUCAUCCUGUUUCUGGCUUUCGAUGGCAAGCGUGGGGAUUCCGGGGGAGAGGAAGCCAUUUCUGCCUAAUGGCCCUGGCUCCAGUGAAGAUGGGGAGGAUGCCGCUUCCUGCCUCUCUCCCUCAUCCUGGCCUUGUCAGUCUCAGCUUCUUGAGGUUAGAGCUGCCAAGGACAGCCUUUCUUCAAGAAACCUGAAGCCCGUUGGCGUGUCUUCUUGGGGGAACCUCUCUGGCCAUGACUGGGAGCCGUGUGAGGGAGAUGCCCAGCCCGGCCCGGCGCGGUCCCACCCGGCUGCGGCGCACCAGACUCACCUGGGAAGACGGACAAGUGUGUGCAUGUGUGAGCUCUAGCUCUACUCAGAGCCUCCGAGGGCGGAGGUGGGUUCUUUGCUUUUGUUUUUCAGUUCUGCAGGGAUUGCGAUGUGCUUCAGGGCUGAGAAUCCCGGCUGGAAGCCCUGGCUCUGCCAUCUUCCUCGAUUCGUCCUGCCGCCUCCUAACUUCCUGCUCUGUUUUCCUGCAGGUCCCUCUGGAACUUCUUCAGAGUCUGACGCAGGGGGUCAGCUGGUGGUUUGUUGGCAGAGCCUCUCCUUGACCAAACUUCAGCCAGGCUCCUUUGGGCCCUCUUCCCAGCUAGGACUUGGCUUUUGGGCUUCUGUGUCCAUCUUGUAUCAUCCAGUUUUAGCAAGAAUCCUGCGAAGGUGGUUUAGCCAGAGUCUCACCCUCGAUAGCUGAUCUGGUUCCUUAUCUUCCAUUGUCCUGCAGAUGGUGUCUGAUCACCCUGGGAACACCAUUAACAUCUCAGAGAAUAGAUUUGUGUCAUGGCUUUGGAAUCGUUGCCAUCCACCUUCCCAGCCCAGUUUUGCCACUGCCCAGGUGUCUUGGGAAAGUCCUUCUCUGUUCCAUCAAGUGUAAAGUGGAGACAGUGAUAAUCUCACUUUAUGGCAUUGUUGGGAACAUUACAUGAGGUCACUCUGGACUCCAGGCUGAAGCUGGGAAUAGGCCCCAUCCUCCUGGGAGUUUAGGAGCCCAGCCUCCGAAGUUAGAUAGACCGGGAGGUUUGUCAUGAGAAUAAAAUGAGAUGGCAAGAAACCCCUGGCAAAGUGCCACACGUGGAGUUAACGAUGGAUUAACACUGGCUGGGCAGAGACAUCUGGAAGCAGGUAAGCAAGAUGUUAAUAGUGGCUGUCCUGGGUGGUGGGACUCUGGGGGACUUUUAUACUUCCUUCAUCAUAUCUUAUGUUAGAAUAUGUUGGGAUUUCCUAUGACCUGCAGGUCUCAUUGGGAAACAGUUGGAAAUGAUUUCCUCUCUAGAGCCUCUCUAACUCCUGGACAAAGUUAAGUCUCCCCUACCUUAUACCUCGGUUAGUACUUUGUACCUACCUGCGACAUAGCCAGCAUGGCAAGCGAUGAUUUGUUUGCCUGCCUGCCCUCCACAUUGGACAGUACCCAGAAUUCACGUUCCUGUGGGGCUCUGUUCCCCCAGGACUCUGCCCAGCACGUGGCAUCGAGUGUGUGCUCUGCCAGUGCUGGUUUGUUUGACUUGAGUCGAAGCCUCUCUUGAUAAGAGUCACUGAGACACUGCAUCCCCAGGCUUUGGUAUUCUUCUAUUUAAUGUGUGCACAUUUUAGGAAAUACACACUCUCCCAUACAUCCAUGGGAAGUCAGGCUGUUCAUUGUGGUGAUCAUGUAGGGAGGGCAGGACGGCCGCAGAAAAUGCACAGCCAGCUGUGCCUCUCGAUGAGCCUUGGGAAGCAGCUUUCCUCUCCCCGUCAACCCCCUGGACCUCUGGAACUCCCACGUCCAAGCAGCUGAGUAAGGACUGGGUUCCUCAACACGCUGCUCGGACCUGGGCCCGUCAAGACGCCUGCUUCCUGAGGAACAGCCCUCAAAGCCCUGAGGGUUUAGCGUCCAGCUUGAUAGGCUCAUCUGAGAGCAGAGUUCUUGCUUGUCUGUGAGGAAGCCAGGGGGACCCAGAGCCUCUCAUUUUGGGGUAAGAUAUGCUAAUUCUAAGUAGAACACAUUUUGGUUUUAAUCCUUAUUCCAUGUGGACACUUUGAAAAAAUAUACACCCAUUUCCUUACUUUGGCAAAAGAGGUAAUGGAGAUAGUGAAUAGAAUUUAACCCCUUUAAAAUUUCACUUUGGGUCAUCUUAAGAUUCAAUGAGAUUUCUGAAAUAAAAAUCCUACACACGUAUGCAUUAAUUGAAUACAUAUUAAGGUCUAACAUACUAAAGCAUGUUUAAUUCAAUUAAGGUAUAAUGAGUAUAUUUAAUUACUAUAAAUUAAAGUAUAACAUGGUAAAGUAUGUUAAGUAUACCAAUCUGACGUGUACACCUUGAUAAUUUUAACAUAAGUAAUCACUUACACCCAGAUGGAGAUACUCUAGAAUUCCAGAAGUUUUCCAUGCCUCUUCCCACUAUCUCCCCCCAACCCCCAUUUAUAGAUGGUAUACACUAUUUAGACUUGAACAUGCUUUUCUCCAGAAAGGCUCUCAUUCUCUGCAAUUGUCUUGUUUUAGAGCCAGAAACACAUCUUGUGGUUUUCUGGCCUUUGUUACUAAGAACCACAUUGCCAGGCACCUGGGUGGCUCAGUCGGUUGAGUAUCCCACUCUUGAUUUCCCCUCAGGUCAUGAUCUCACGGUGGUGGGAUGGAGCUGAGCCCUAUGUCUUCGGGCUCCAUGCAUUGAGCAUGAGACCUUCUUGGGAUUCUUUCUCUCCCUCUCCCUCUCCCCCAAGCACAAGCAUGUGCUCUUUCUCUCAAAAUAAACAAACAUUAAAAAAAAGGAACCACGUUGCCUUUUCACAACUGUAGGAAUAAGUGGUGUUUUGAGGUUUUGAGUGUUU